GAUGAACGCUGGCGGCGUGCUUAACACAUGCAAGUCUAACGAUGAAGCCCAGCUUGCGGGGUGGGCUCGUGGCGAAAGGGUGUGUAUCACACGAGUAUCCUGUCCCUAUCACUUGGAUAAGCCUGGGGGAAUCGGUGUAAUAUCGCGUAGGAGAGCCCAUCGUACGGUGGGUGUUGGAGAGAUUUAGCGGUUUUGGAUGGACUCGCGGCUUAUCAGCUUGUUGGUGGGGUAUUGGCUCACCAAGGCGAUGACGGGUAGCCGGCCUGAGAGGGUGACCGGCCACACUGGGACUGAGACACGGCCCAGACUCCUACGGGAGGCAGCAGUGGGGAAUAUUGCACAAUGGGCGGAAGCCUGAUGCAGCGACGCCGCGUGCGGGAUGACGGCCUUCGGGUUGUAAACCUCUUUCGGUAGUGAAGAAGCGAGAGUGACGGUACUGGGUGAAGAAGCACCGGCUAACUACGUG
rnacentral:rRNA from 1 species